rnacentral:rRNA from 1 species
UGAUCCUGGCUCAGGACGAACGCUGGCGGUGCGCCUUAUGCAUGCAAGUUGAGCGAAGCUUUUCAGUAGUUUACUACAGAAAAUGACUGAGCGGCGAACGGGUGGGUAACGCGUGAGCAAUCUACCUUAGUUACUGGGAUAGCCCGAGGAAACUCGGAUUAAUACCGGAUAUUCUUAUUUUUUCACAUGAAGUUUUAAGGAAAGGUCAGCCGAACUAAGAUGAGCUCGCGUUCUAUCAGCUAGUUGGUGGGGUAAAAGCCUACCAAGGCAACGACGGAUAGCUGGUCUGAGAGGACGAUCAGCCACACUGGGACUGAGACACGGCCCAGACUCCUACGGGAGGCUGCAGCAGGGAAUAUUGUGCAAUGAGCGAAAGCUUGACACAGCGACACCGCGUGUGGGAUGACGGUUCUAGGAUUGUAAACCACUUUCAGGAGGGAAGAAAAUGACGGUACCUCCACAAGAAGACCCGGCCAACUAUGUGCCAGCAGCCGCGGUAAUACAUAGGGGUCAAGCGUUGUCCGGAUUUAUUGGGCGUAAAGAGCUCGUAGGCGGUUCAACAAGUCGGUCGUAAAAGUUUAGGGCUCAACCCUAAAAUGUCGAUCGAUACUGUUGUGACUAGGAUACGGUAGAGGUGAAUGGAAUUCCGAGUGUAGCGGUGAAAUGCGUAGACAUUCGGAGGAACACCAAUUGCGAAGGCAGUUCACUGGACCGUGAUCGACGCUGAGGAGCGAAAGCUAGGGGAGCAAACAGGAUUAGAUACCCUGGUAGU